rnacentral:rRNA from 1 species
GUGUCAGCAGCCGCGGUAAUACGUAGGGUGCGAGCGUUAAUCGGAAUUACUGGGCGUAAAGCGUGCGCAGGCGGCUCUAUAAGACAGAUGUGAAAUCCCCGGGCUUAACCUGGGAACUGCGUUUGUGACUGUAGGGCUAGAGUGCGGCAGAGGGGGGUAGAAUUCCACGUGUAGCAGUGAAAUGCGUAGAGAUGUGGAGGAAUACCGAUGGCGAAGGCAGCCCCCUGGGUCGACACUGACGCUCAUGCACGAAAGCGUGGGGAGCAAACAGGAUUAGAAACCCUCGUAGUCC